rnacentral:rRNA from 1 species
UACGGGGGGGGGCAAGCGUUGUUCGGAAUUACUGGGCGUAAAGGGCUCGUAGGCGGCCAACUAAGUCAGACGUGAAAUCCCUCGGCUUAACCGGGGGAACUGCGUCUGAUACUGGAUGGCUUGGAGUUUGGGAGAGGGAUGCGGAAUUCCAGGUGUAGCGGUGAAAUGCGUAGAUAUCAGGAAGAACACCCGUGGCUAAGGCGGCUCUCUAGUACGGUACUGACGCUGAGACGCGAAAGCGUGGGGAGCGAACAGG